rnacentral:rRNA from 1 species
CCUACGGGUGGCAGCAGUGAGGAAUAUUGGUCAAUGGGCGAGAGCCUGAACCAGCCAAGUCGCGUGAGGGAAGACGGUCCUAUGGAUUGUAAACCUCUUUUGCCGGGGAGCAAAAAGCGGUACGUGUACCGCAUCGAGAGUACCCGGAGAAAAAGCAUCGGCUAACUCCGUGCCAGCAGCCGCGGUAAUACGGAGGAUGCGAGCGUUAUCCGGAUUUAUUGGGUUUAAAGGGUGCGCAGGCGGAAGCGGCAAGUCAGCGGUAAAAUUGCGGGGCUCAACCUCGCCGAGCCGUUGAAACUGCUCUUCUAGAGUGGGCGAGAGGUAUGCGGAAUGCGUGGUGUAGCGGUGAAAUGCAUAGAUAUCACGCAGAACUCCGAUUGCGAAGGCAGCAUACCGGCGCCCAACUGACGCUCAUGCACGAAAGCGUGGGUAUCGAACAGGAUUAGAUACCCUAGUAGUC